rnacentral:rRNA from 1 species
GACGAACGCUGGCGGCGUGCUUAACACAUGCAAGUCGAACGGAAAGGCCCUGCUUUUGCGGGGUGCUCGAGUGGCGAACGGGUGAGUAACACGUGAGUAACCUGCCCUUGACUUUGGGAUAACUUCAGGAAACUGGGGCUAAUACCGGAUAGGAGCUCCUGCUGCAUGGUGGGGGUUGGAAAAUUUCGGCGGUUGGGGAUGGACUCGCGGCUUAUCAGCUUGUUGGUGGGGUAGUGGCUUACCAAGGCUUUGACGGGUAGCCGGCCUGAGAGGGUGACCGGCCACAUUGGGACUGAGAUACGGCCCAGACUCCUACGGGAGGCAGCAGUGGGGAAUAUUGCACAAUGGGCGGAAGCCUGAUGCAGCAACGCCGCGUGCGGGAUGACGGCCUUCGGGUUGUAAACCGCUUUCGCCUGUGACGAAGCGUGAGUGACGGUAAUGGGUAAAGAAGCACCGGCUAACUACGUG